UGGGGAAUUUUGGACAAUGGGCGCAAGCCUGAUCCAGCCAUGCCGCGUGAGUGAAGAAGGCCUUCGGGUUGUAAAGCUCUUUCAGCUGGAAAAAAAUCGUACUUAUUAAUACUAAGUGCGGAUGAUGGUACCAGCAGAAGAAGCACCGGCUAACUACGUGCCAGCAGCCGCGGUAAUACGUAGGGUGCGAGCGUUAAUCGGAAUUACUGGGCGUAAAGCGUGCGCAGGCGGUUUUGUAAGACAGAUGUGAAAUCCCCGGGCUUAACCUGGGAACUGCAUUUGUGACUGCAAGACUAGAGUGUAGAAGAGGGGGGUAGAAUUCCACGUGUAGCAGUGAAAUGCGUAGAGAUGUGGAGGAAUACCGAUGGCGAAGGCAGCCCCCUGGGCUAACACUGACGCUCAUGCACGAAAGCGUGGGGAGCAAACAGGAUUAGAUACCCUGGUAGUCCACGCCCUAAACGAUGUCAACUAGGUGUUGGGGAAGGAGACUUCUUUAGUACCGCAGCUAACGCGUGAAGUUGACCGCCUGGGGAGUACGGUCGCAAGAUUA
rnacentral:rRNA from 1 species